UCCUUGGUGGCUCAGACGGUAAAGCGUCUGCCUACAAUGCGGGAGACCCGGGUUCGAUCCCUGGGUCAGGAA
rnacentral:tRNA from 1 species